GCAGCGUCUAUUACCAUUUAACUUUUGAUUCCCGGUUUCAAUCGGUGCAUAUUUGAUACAAAAUCAAUUAAAUACAAUAAUUUGCAUAUCUUCCUAGGUUUUGAUCUCAUUUAUUCCUGUACCAUCUAAUUGAAAAAUAUUGAUGUUGUUUUUUUUUCUAUCCAACGUUUUUGAUCAAAGUCGACAAAGGAAUACAUAUAUUUCUUUUAAAAAGUAAGAAAAAACAUUAAGAAUUGAUAAUAGUAUAUAGCUUUUAAGGUAUCCAUAAUAUAUCGGAGAUAAUAGCAUUAUCAUGACAGUGUUGAGGUAAUCUCCUUCAU
rnacentral:lncRNA from 1 species